UAUUUGGGCUACAGCCAUCUUAAUCCACUGACCUUGACUGCAAUGCAGCAGGUAAACAUUACAGCUGAUCACCUCGGCGCCACGGCACAGCACGACGCGAGCCGGUAUCUCGACACAACAGGUCUUUUUCUGAGUGCUAAGCAGGGACCUGGGGAGAGACUGAGCCCGAGAUAACAUAAUAUAGCUGCCUGGGAGCUCAUCCUUCCUGCCGAAAGCUCUGAAUGUCAAGUCUUUUUUCACACGGCGCACGGAAGUGGAUAGAAGGAAGCGGGAGACAGGAGGUCACAAAACAAAAAUGCACUGAUGCGGUGGGACCUCGGCGCAGAGCAAGAGGGAUGAAGGAGUCUUUCUCAGCUUUCAAAUGAGAGUCAGCAUCUUUCAGGAGAACCAAUUCCCGAAGUGAAGUCUGCCCGGGAAUUUCAUCAAGCCAAAUCCAGAGCAACAGGAAGACGAGGAUGAAAACCAGCCGGAGCUCCCCUGAUGGCCAAGGCUCUUUUGAAGCUCCCUCCAACUGCCUGAGGAAGUCUCACAAGCUGGAUUUGUGCAGGAUGAAGACAAACGGUGUACUUUGGGUCACAUCCGAUUAAACCAACAGUGAAUGAAUUAUAACAGUGAUUCAUGAUCAACAAGGUUUUCCCUGCUCGGUUCUUUUAUUAAGAGUAAUAUUACAUAAACAGGCUUGAAGCUUUUGUCUGAGGAGUUUUUAAAAAAAACAAAAACACUAAUUUGCUGCAUUUUGUGACAGAACAAUGCAAAAAGUACAGGUGAAUUGUGGCUGAGGAACACCGAGUGUUUACUGAACCAGCGCUGACCUUGGCUCAUGUUGAUGCAUUUUUAUGUAGGCUUACAAGACUGUUUACUUUCUGAGGUCAAAUACGGUCAGACCAAGAGGAAUAAGGUGGCUUUUUUUUUUUCAAAAAGCAAUGUAAAAUAGGACAUAGUGUUGCUUACCCAGAACCUGCCUUAACCUUCAGUUGAUCUGAAAUUCAUAUUGUGCCAUUUUAACAUAUUUUGCGUGAUAGUUAAGAUCAAUCGAAGAAAUAAAGUAAAGCAACAAACAGUGACACAACCUAAAACACAUUCAGCAUCUAUGUACUUCACAAAAAAUCUGCAUCUUAGAUAUAUUUAGUAUACAAACAAGGGAUUAUUCAGCCAUCUUUGACCACACACAGCAAAAAGCAGCCAGUCGACCAGGAAAGCAGGGAUUUAGUAAAUAUCUCAUGAACAAUAACACUGUAACAAAGUUCUGGCCUUGAUAUAAAAGCAAACAGCAGUUCUGAGUUGUAAUCCAAAGGCCCCAGAGCCCUGGUUUGUUUUCACUCCAACUAAUAGUGCUGGCUUUGGCUUGGGUGGCGCCCUAGGUGAGAUCUGAAUAAUGCAAGAACGAGUCAACAGAAGCAUUUGCACUAAUUUAACCAACAUCCAGAGCUUGCUUUUAAGUCCAAAUCUUGUGAUGUUAAGCCUGAAGUCACUCAGGACCCUAAGGAUAAAUCCAAGUUAAGUUAAGGGUCUGCAAGCAAAUUGCAAAUCUUUCUUCUCUAAGGUCUUUCAGGUCUGGAUGCUAACAACUGCGGCAGCCUGUGUGCACUCAAGCAGAGCUUUUUAUUUUAUUUUUUGCAAAAAUUCAAGAAAACAUGACGUUAAGUGAGAACGUGUUACUGCUUAAGCGUGUCUCUGGGGUUUCAGAGUUUGUAAUAACACUAUUUUGCAUUUUAUUAAUGUCUGUGUUUGUAUUUGCAAAGAACUCAUCUCAAAAUCGUACCUUUAAAUAACA